AAUCUACUCCCUCCGUCCGACAAUACUUGUCAUCAAAAUGGACAAAAAGGGAUGUAUCUAGAACUAAAAUACAUCUAGAUACAUCCCCUUUUAUUUAUUUUGAUGACAAGUAUUUCCGGACGGAGGGAGUAGUAU
rfam:Triticum aestivum genome assembly, contig: Triticum_aestivum_CS42_TGACv1_scaffold_471516_6AL